rnacentral:rRNA from 1 species
UGGGGAAUAUUGGACAAUGGGCGCAAGCCUGAUCCAGCCAUGCCGCGUGAGUGAUGAAGGCCCUAGGGUUGUAAAGCUCUUUCAACGGUGAAGAUAAUGACGGUAACCGUAGAAGAAGCCCCGGCUAACUUCGUG